AGUCCAUGAUGUGGACAUUUCCGAAGCAAAUCUCUAAACCUUUCCCAUGCCUCAUAUAAUGAUUCACCUUCCAAUUGGCUAAAACUAGUGAUAUCCAUUCUAAGCUU